rnacentral:rRNA from 1 species
UACGUAGGGUGCGAGCGUUAAUCGGAAUUACUGGGCGUAAAGCGUGCGCAGGCGGCGCGUUAAGACAGGUGUGAAAGCCCCGGGCUUAACUUGGGAAUUGCGCUUGUGACUGGCGUGCUGGAGUGUGGCAGAGGGAGGUGGAAUUCCACGUGUAGCAGUGAAAUGCGUAGAGAUGUGGAGGAACACCGAUGGCGAAGGCAGCCUCCUGGGCCAGCACUGACGCUGAUGCACGAAAGCGUGGGGAGCAAACAGG